rnacentral:rRNA from 1 species
GACGAACGCUGGCGGCGUGCUUAACACAUGCAAGUCGAACGGAAAGGCCCUGCUUUUGUGGGGUGCUCGAGUGGCGAACGGGUGAGUAACACGUGAGUAACCUGCCCUUGACUUUGGGAUAACUUCAGGAAACUGGGGCUAAUACCGGAUAGGAGCUCCUGCUGCAUGGUGGGGGUUGGAAAGUUUCGGCGGUUGGGGAUGGACUCGCGGCUUAUCAGCUUGUUGGUGGGGUAGUGGCUUACCAAGGCUUUGACGGGUAGCCGGCCUGAGAGGGUGACCGGCCAGAGGGGAACGGAGACGGGGGCAAGACGACUAAGGGAGGGAGGAGUAGGGAAUGGGCGGCAAGGGGCGAAAGCCGGAAGGAGCAACGCCGAGUGAGUGAUGAAGGUCGUCGGAGCGGAAAACUUGGUUAUUAGGGAAGAAAAUAUGUGUAAGUAACUGUGCACAUCGUGACGGUACCUAAUAAGAAAGACACGGCUAACUACGUG